CACGGAGGCCCCGAGCGUUGUUCGGAAUUACUGGGCGUAAAGAGUGCGUAGGCGGCGAGGCAAGUCGGAUGUGAAAGCCCGGGGCUCAACCCCGGAACUGCAUUCGAUACUGCCUUGCUUGAGGGUUGGAGAGGAGACUGGAAUUCACGGUGUAGCAGUGAAAUGCGUGGAUAUCGUGAGGAAGACCAAUGGCGAAGGCAGGUCUCUGGACAACUCCUGACGCUGAGGCACGAAGGCCAGGGGAGCGAAAAGG
rnacentral:misc_RNA from 1 species